GAUGAACGCUGGCGGCGUGCCUAAUACAUGCAAGUCGAGCGAACGGGCGAGAAGCUUGCUUCUCUGAUGUUAGCGGCGGACGGGUGAGUAAUACGUGGAUAACCUACCUAUAAGACUGGGAUAACUUCGGGAAACCGGAGCUAAUACCGGAUAAUAUUUUGAACCGCAUGGUUCAAAAGUGAAAGACGGUCUUGCUGUCACUUAUAGAUGGAUCCGCGCUGCAUUAGCUAGUUGGUAAGGUAACGGCUUACCAAGGCAACGAUGCAUAGCCGACCUGAGAGGGUGAUCGGCCACACUGGAACUGAGACACGGUCCAGACUCCUACGGGAGGCAGCAGUAGGGAAUCUUCCGCAAUGGGCGAAAGCCUGACGGAGCAACGCCGCGUGAGUGAUGAAGGUCUUCGGAUCGUAAAACUCUGUUAUUAGGGAAGAACAUAUGUGUAAGUAACUGUGCACAUCUUGACGGUACCUAAUCAGAAAGCCACGGCUAACUACGUG
rnacentral:rRNA from 1 species